GAUGAACGCUGGCGGCGUGCCUAAUACAUGCAAGUCGAGCGAACGGACGAGAAGCUUGCUUUUCUGAUGUUAGCGGCGGACGGGUGAGUAACACGUGGAUAACCGACCUAUAAGACUGGGAUAACUUCGGGAAACCGGAGCUAAUACCGGAUAAUAUUUUGAACCGCAUGGUUCAAAAGUGAAAGACGGUCUUGCUGUCACUUAUAGAUGGAUCCGCGCUGCAUUAGCUAGUUGGUAAGGUAACGGCUUACCAAGGCAACGAUGCAUAGCCGACCUGAGAGGGUGAUCGGCCACACUGGAACUGAGACACGGUCCAGACUCCUACGGGAGGCAGCAGUAGGGAAUCUUCCGCAAUGGGCUAAAGCCUGACGGAGCAACGCCGCGUGAGUGAUGAAGGUCUUCGGAUCGUAAAACUCUGUUAUUAGGGAAGAACAUAUGUGUAAGUAACUGUGCACAUCUUGACGGUACCUAAUCAGAAAGCCACGGCUAACUACGUG
rnacentral:rRNA from 1 species